UACGGAGGGUGCGAGCGUUGUCCGGAAUCAUUGGGCGUAAAGGGCGCGUAGGUGGCCUGCUAAGCGUGCGGUGAAAGUCGGGGGCUCAACCCCCGAUCGGCCGUGCGAACUGGGAGGCUUGAGCACUGUAGAGGCAGGCGGAAUUCCGGGUGUAGCGGUGAAAUGCGUAGAGAUUUGGAGGAACACCAGUGGCGAAGGCGACUUUCUGGUCUGUAACUGACGCUGAGGCGCGAAAGCGUGGGGAGCGAACAGG
rnacentral:rRNA from 1 species